rnacentral:rRNA from 1 species
UGGGGAAUCUUGGACAAUGGGGGAAACCCUGAUCCAGCCAUGCCGCGUGAGUGAAGAAGGCCUUAGGGUCGUAAAGCUCUUUCACCGGGGAAGAUAAUGACGGUACCCGGAGAAGAAACCCCGGCUAACUCCGUGCCAGCAGCCGCGGUAAUACGGAGGGGGUUAGCGUUGUUCGGAAUUACUGGGCGUAAAGCGCGCGUAGGCGGGCUGGAAAGUUGGGGGUGAAAUCCCGGGGCUCAACCCCGGAACUGCCUCCAAAACUAUCAGCCUAGAGUUCGAGAGAGGUGAGUGGAAUUCCGAGUGUAGAGGUGAAAUUCGUAGAUAUUCGGAGGAACACCAGUGGCGAAGGCGGCUCACUGGCUCGAUACUGACGCUGAGGUGCGAAAGCGUGGGGAGCAAACA